rnacentral:lncRNA from 1 species
GGUCACUAAGUUUUCCAGAGCUUAAUCUUAUUGGGUUAUUUUAAAGCUGCUUGGUAAGCUGGAACUUCAGGUGGGCAUCAUAAACUCAAGUCCAUACUUAAAAUGUCCAGGAGUUCCUGCUGUGGCUCAGUGGUAAUGACCCAACUAGUAUCCAUGAAGAUGCGGGUUCUAUCCCUGGCCUCACUCACGGGGUUAAGGAUCCAGUGACAUUGCUAUGAGCUGAGGUGUAGGUCGCAGGCGCAGUGUAGGUCACAGACAUGGCUCGGAUCUGGCAUUGCUGUGGCUGUGGUGUAGGCUGGUAGCUGCAGUUCCAAUUCAACCCCCAGCCUGGGAACUUCCAUAUGGCGAGGGUGCAGCCCUAAAAAGCAAGCAAACAAACAAGAAUGUCCAGACUCUGGGUGUGAACAGGGUUAUCACACUGUAAAAUGCCUAUCCUAGGCUGCAACUCAGAAAAACAAAAGCUGCUUUUCAAAAAGUUGUUUUUCUCAUCACAAGGGGCAAGAAGAUGAAACUGUUAGCUAUACGAGAAGGUCUGCCUGACCAGACCUGCAAGUUUGACAGCAAGUGGAUGCAGCCACAGCCAACUGGGGGUGGGGUGGUCAGGGCAUGGCCAGAGGCAUAAACACUACCUUCCAACCCUCUCAGCUCAACCUGCAAAAGCCAGAGGGCAAGGGAGCCGGAGCUGAUUGAGGCAGCCUGCAGAGGUCAGCUUCCCAAACAGAGCAGAGCAAGGUUGGACCCAAAGAAGGUACAGAGGCUAUCUCACACAGGUAGCAGGCUGACACAUUUAUUUAAACAGUUCUGUGGGAGUUCCUGUUGUGGCUUAGUAGGCCAAGAACCUAACUAGUAUCAGUGAGGAUGAGGGUUUGAUUCCUGGCCUCACUCAGUGGGUUAAAGAUCUGGCGUUGCUAAGAGCUGUGGUGUAGGUUGCAGACUUGGCUCAGAUUCUGAGUUGCUGUGGCUGUGGCCAAGGUCCAGCUGCAGCUCUGAUUCAACCCUAGCCUGGAAACUUCCAUAUGCUAUAGGUGUGGGAAAAAAAAAAAUGGAGUUCCCUUCGUGGCGCAGUGGUUAACGAAUCCGACUAGGAACCAUGAGGUUGCAGGGAUCGAACCCGAAACCUCAUGGUUCUUAGAUUUGUUAACCACUGAGCCACGACGGGAACUCCUGCUCUCUUGUUUCUUUAACUGUAAAUAUUCCAGCUAAUUUGACUGAGGCAUGAUUAAUGAUCCUUUAAACUUUCAGGUGUUAUUCAUUCCCUUGAAUCUUUGAAGUUGGCUCUUGGCAAAACUGUAAAUGAAAGGUUUGUUUUCUAGGCCCAUCUGCAUGCUUUUUAGAUCUUUUUGGUUCCCUGCUAGCAAUAGCAACUUUAGCCCCAGAGUUCUCUCACCAUGGGAGCAAUGGGCUUGCCAAUCCCAACCUGCUCUCUAAGCCUGUGCCUGCAUUCAAUGGGCAAUUAAAACUCAAUUAUACAGUUCUACUGUUUUCCUCAACAUAAAAGCAAUACAUGCUCAUGUUGUCCAACUUGAGAAUACAGAAAAGCAAAAGAAAAUAAAAAUCUGUUAUAAUCUUGUUAUUCAAAAUCAGAUGCCACUGUUCCUUGUUCCUCUCAAAAGUGUUGUUGGCACUUUUAACGCCACUCAUCUGUGCAUAGUCCCUUUCCUCCCCGACCCUGCUCUGCCUUCCAAGUUCACUCUGUGAGGCAGAGGUAAUGACUGAAUAAGUAAACACUUGAAAGUAUAUUACCUUGAGACCUUAGGCACCUGUUGAGGAAAAAAUACAUAAAUAGUACAUAAUAAAACCAAUUGGGACAUCUGAGGUUGGCUAGUUUACAGUGGAAUUCAUUGGCUCAUAGGACCUGAAUGUAUAGAGGUAGGAUGGGCUGCAGGUGUGGUUUGAUCUAGAGAUUGAAAGAGUCAAAAAGGAAAUGGUUUCUUUCUAACCCCUCUCUCUGCUUUCUCCACAAUGUUCAUCUCUUCCUAAGGUAAGUGCUUCUUGCAGUCAAAAUGGCAGCCUUAUCAGCAGUUUCUAGCACUACUUACUGCCUGGCUCCUGUCUAACAGGAUAUGAGAGCAUCUGUCUGUGACCCAUAAAUUCCUGGGAUCCCUUUUGAUUGGAUCAGCCUGGUUCCUAUGACCACCCCUGAACCAACCCUAGUGGCAAGGAAGAUGAGACAAUUAUGCAUAGUUGAGACUAGUAGGCCUCAAACUCUAGUCUCAGGACUGCUCAUAAAAAUUAAUGAGGAGCCCACAGAAUCUUUUUGAUGGAGAUUUUUAUCUAUUGAUACUUGCCAAAUUAGAAAUUAAAUUCAGGAAUUCCCAUCGUGGCGCAGCGAAAACGAAUCUGACUAGGAACUAUGAGGUUGCAGGUUUGAUCCCUGGCCUCAUUCAGUGGGUUAAGGAUCUGGUAUUGCUGCGAGCUGUGGUGUAGGCUGGCAGCUGUAGCUCCAAUUCAACCCCUAGCCUGGGAACCUCCAUAUGCCGAAAGUGCGGCCCUAAGAAAAAAAAAAGCAAAAACAAAAGAAACCUCCCAACAGACAAAAGUCCAGGAACAGACAGCUUCAUGAGUGAAUUCCACCAAACAUUUCGAGAAAGGUUAACCCUACCUUUCUCAAACUAUUCCAGAAAACAGCAGAGGAAGGAACAUGUCUGAAUACAUUCUGUGAGGCCAGUAUCACCCACCCUGAUACUAAGACCAGAUAAAGAUAGCACCCAAAAAAGAAAAUUACAGACUAACAUCACUGAUGCAAAAAUCAACAAAAUAUUAGCAAACAAAAUUCAAAUCCUACAUUAAUCCCACAUUAAAACGAUCAUACAUUAUGACUAAAUGGGACUUAUCCCAAGGAUGCAAGGAUGGUUCAGUAUCCACAAAUCAACCAAAGUGACACAGAUUAACAAACUAAAGACUGAAAUAGGAGCAUCUCAAUAGAUACAGAAUAAACUUUUGACAAAAGUCAACAUCCAUUUUUGAUGAAAAACUCUCAAUACAGGGGACCAUGCUGCAACAUAUAAAGACCAUGUAUGACAGGCCCGCAGCCAGUAUCAUACUUAAUGGCAAAAGCUGAAAGCAUUUUCUCUAAGAAGGAAGCAUUUUCUCACAGGAAGAAGACAACGAUGCCCACUCUUACCACUUUUAUUCAGCAUAGUGUUGGAAAUCAUAGCCACAGCAAUCAGACAAGAAGAAAUGAAAGAAAUCCCAAUUAGAAAAGAAGUAAAACUGUCACUGUUUUUAGAUGACAUGAUACUAUACAUAGAAAAUCCUAAAGAUGUUACCAAAAAAAAAAAAAAA